UGCCACCCUAGGGAUUACAGUGUCGGAUU
rnacentral:piRNA from 1 species